CACACGAUUCCGCACACAAAAAGGACGAAGCCAAGCGCUAAGAAGGAUCGGCGGCUUUCGACAAUUAUUUGAUUAUGCAAAUAAUUUGUUUUCGUUUUUUGUACUUUGAAAAACUCUAUUAGAAUUCAAACAUUAGACAAUUUUUAUGCCGGCUCGAUGUUCUAAUAGCGUAAUGGAGUAGUGAUGGUGGUGUCCGAUGUCACAAAUGUUUUCAACAUAGCUGGAAACAUCCUCAAAGGGUCUAUCAUCAUCGGAAGGCAAA